rnacentral:rRNA from 1 species
AGCGAACGCUGGCGGCAGGCUUAACACAUGCAAGUCGAGCGCCUGUAGCAAUACAGGAGCGGCAGACGGGAGAGUAACACGUGGGAAUAUGCCCUUCGGUUCGGAAUAACUCAGGGAAACUUGAGCUAAUACCGGAUACGCCCUUACGGGGAAAGAUUUAUAGCCGAAGGAUUAGCCCGCGUCCGAUUAGCUAGUUGGUGAGGUACGGCUCACCAAGGCGACGAUCGGUAGCUGGUCUGAGAGGAUGAUCAGCCUCAUUGGGACUGAGACACGGCCCAAACUCCUACGGGAGGCAGCAGUGGGGAAUAUUGGACAAUGGGCGCAAGCCUGAUCCAGCCAUGCCGCGUGGGUGAUGAAGGCCCUAGGGUUGUAAAGCCCUUUCGGCGGGGAAGAUAAUGACGGUACCCGCAGAAGAAGCCCCGGCUAACUUCGUGCCAGCAGCCGCCGUAA